rnacentral:rRNA from 1 species
ACGAACGCUGGCGGCGUGCUUAACACAUGCAAGUCGCACGGAAAGGCCCUGCUUUUGUGGGGUGCUCGAGUGGCGAACGGGUGAGUAACACGUGAGUAACCUGCCCUUGACUUUGGGAUAACUUCAGGAAACUGGGGCUAAUACCGGAUAGGAGCUCCUGCUGCAUGGUGGGGGUUGGAAAGUUUCGGCGGUUGGGGACGGACUCGCGGCUUAUCAGCUUGUUGGUGGGGUAGUGGCUUACCAAGGCUUUGACGGGUAGCCGGCCUGAGAGGGUGACCGGCCACAUUGGGACUGAGAUACGGCCCAGACUCCUACGGGAGGCAGCAGUGGGGAAUAUUGCACAAUGGGCGGAAGCCUGAUGCAGCAACGCCGCGUGCGGGAUGACGGCCUUCGGGUUGUAAACCGCUUUCGCCUGUGACGAAGCGUGAGUGACGGUAAUGGGUAAAGAAGCACCGGCUAACUACGUG